AAAUUGAAGAGUUUGAUCAUGGCUCAGAUUGAACGCUGGCGGCAGGCCUAACACAUGCAAGUCGAGCGGUAGCACAGAGAGCUUGCUCUCGGGUGACGAGCGGCGGACGGGUGAGUAAUGUCUGGGAAACUGCCUGAUGGAGGGGGAUAACUACUGGAAACGGUAGCUAAUACCGCAUAAUGUCGCAAGACCAAAGUGGGGGACCUUCGGGCCUCAUGCCAUCAGAUGUGCCCAGAUGGGAUUAGCUAGUAGGUGGGGUAACGGCUCACCUAGGCGACGAUCCCUAGCUGGUCUGAGAGGAUGACCAGCCACACUGGAACUGAGACACGGUCCAGACUCCUACGGGAGGCAGCAGUGGGGAAUAUUGCACAAUGGGCGCAAGCCUGAUGCAGCCAUGCCGCGUGUGUGAAGAAGGCCUUCGGGUUGUAAAGCACUUUCAGCGGGGAGGAAGGCGGUGAGGUUAAUAACCUCAUCGAUUGACGUUACCCGCAGAAGAAGCACCGGCUAACUCCGUGCCAGCAGCCGCGGUAAUACGGAGGGUGCAAGCGUUAAUCGGAAUUACUGGGCGUAAAGCGCACGCAGGCGGUCUGUCAAGUCGGAUGUGAAAUCCCCGGGCUCAACCUGGGAACUGCAUUCGAAACUGGCAGGCUAGAGUCUUGUAGAGGGGGGUAGAAUUCCAGGUGUAGCGGUGAAAUGCGUAGAGAUCUGGAGGAAUACCGGUGGCGAAGGCGGCCCCCUGGACAAAGACUGACGCUCAGGUGCGAAAGCGUGGGGAGCAAACAGGAUUAGAUACCCUGGUAGUCCACGCCGUAAACGAUGUCGAUUUGGAGGUUGUGCCCUUGAGGCGUGGCUUCCGGAGCUAACGCGUUAAAUCGACCGCCUGGGGAGUACGGCCGCAAGGUUAAAACUCAAAUGAAUUGACGGGGGCCCGCACAAGCGGUGGAGCAUGUGGUUUAAUUCGAUGCAACGCGAAGAACCUUACCUGGUCUUGACAUCCACAGAACUUAGCAGAGAUGCUUUGGUGCCUUCGGGAACUGUGAGACAGGUGCUGCAUGGCUGUCGUCAGCUCGUGUUGUGAAAUGUUGGGUUAAGUCCCGCAACGAGCGCAACCCUUAUCCUUUGUUGCCAGCGGUUCGGCCGGGAACUCAAAGGAGACUGCCAGUGAUAAACUGGAGGAAGGUGGGGAUGACGUCAAGUCAUCAUGGCCCUUACGACCAGGGCUACACACGUGCUACAAUGGCAUAUACAAAGAGAAGCGACCUCGCGAGAGCAAGCGGACCUCAUAAAGUAUGUCGUAGUCCGGAUUGGAGUCUGCAACUCGACUCCAUGAAGUCGGAAUCGCUAGUAAUCGUAGAUCAGAAUGCUACGGUGAAUACGUUCCCGGGCCUUGUACACACCGCCCGUCACACCAUGGGAGUGGGUUGCAAAAGAAGUAGGUAGCUUAACCUUCGGGAGGGCGCUUACCACUUUGUGAUUCAUGACUGGGGUGAAGUCGUAACAAGGUAACCGUAGGGGAACCUGCGGUUGGAUCACCUCCUUA
rnacentral:rRNA from 1 species